rnacentral:rRNA from 1 species
GCACUCUGAUGCAGCGANNCCGCGUGAGNGAUGAAGCCCUUCGGGGUNUAAAGCUCUUUCGACGGGAAAGAUUAUGACGGUACCCGGAGAAGAAGCUGCGGCUAACUACGUGCCAGCAGCCGCGGUAAUACGUAGGCAGCGAGCGUUGUUCGGAAUUACUGGGCGUAAAGAGUGUGUAGGCGGUGUUCCAAGUCUGGUGUGAAAUCUCCUGGCUUAACUGGGAGGGUGCGCCGGAAACUGGAAUGCUCGAGGGUGGGAGAGGUAAGCGGAAUUCCUGGUGUAGCGGUGAAAUGCGUAGAUAUCAGGAGGAACACCUGUGGUGUAGACAGCUUACUGGACCACUUCUGACGCUGAGACACGAAAGCGUGGGUAGCAAACAGGAUUAGAUACCCUGGUAGUCCACGCCCUAAACGAUGCAUACUUGGUGUGAGCGAUUCAUUUCGUUCGUGCCGGAGCUAACGCGUUAAGUAUGCCGCCUGGGGAGUACGGUCGCAAGGCUGAAACUCAAAAGAAUUGACGGA